CUUCACCUCCCGACUCGGCAAACAGGGAGAGGGGGGCGGAGACAGAGGCAAGACUCAUCCAGGAACGCCGUCGCGAGCAAGACGGUGCCGCUCGUGCCCCUUUACCUUCUGCCACCCCAACUCAAGGACGAACUCCGGUAACUGUCCAAGGGUAAUGCUCUCCUCAAGCGCCUGUUGGAGCUCGUGGGUCUAGGCCAAGGGGGCCAGAACAACGGUUUGUCGCCUCGGCCGGAACGGCAAGGGCGCCUGAGUUUAUGACCUAGACCAACGCGAGUUGUCGAGCCGCCGCUACCCUUACUAUACCGUCCUCAAGCUCAAGCGGCAGAGCGCCUACGUAGUGGCUGCUCCAGCCGGGUCAGAUGACUGUCUCAGUUAGGUCUCCGUGGACCCUCCUGUUUUUUCCAAUACCAACCCGUCACUCGGUGGUCUACUGCUACCUGAGUUUUCAGUACCCGAUAUCUCAACUAACCGAUUUCUUCAAGUACAAGGACCACGUAAAGUACCUAACGACCAGUAAUAUAUAGGACCUAUGGCUCUUCUAAUACUACCACGAACUGGGUUGCCUCUGUCUAGGUAACCUACUCUACUUUUAGUUUGUAAACCUACUCUACUUUUACUUUGUACCCGGCGAUCGUUCCUUCAAAGUCGUCUUCAAUACGUGGGAUAAGUCAUAAGUCACUGUACAAGCCUCGGCCAAACCAACUCUGGUGACCUACCAGCAAACACAUGGGAAACCACCGCGUCGUGCUCGGUACGUAAUCCGCACACCUUCUGUCACCGCAUAUACAGCGAGUGAUGCAGGACCUCAAGUGGUCAGAUAUGGAAGCUAGUUGAUAUUGGGUCCAGUCUAGCUCGUGGAUGUGUUCUUCUAACGUAUGCUCUAUCACUGGUACUUCCCCUUGUUCCCUCUAUGGGGCCUCAAGGACAGGCUCCUCUAGUAACUGACUGCUCUUUCUGUAAUCGUUAAGGUCAGACGUACGUUAAAACCGACACGCACAUGAAUAGCAAUCUACCCGUACAAAUUCAAAAUCACAAUAAAACGUAGUCUUUUGGGAUGCUCGUAACACGUAUACCUUUCGAAACCCGUACCCUAAGGAUUACCUCUAGAUUAAUCUCAUUAAACUUGAUGUAUGCACAAUCUCUAAUACACUUGUAUACUGCUAGACAGACUUAAAUUUAUACGACGUUGAUGAACACCAAUAAACUAAGUG
rnacentral:rRNA from 1 species